rnacentral:rRNA from 1 species
AUGGCGGCGCAGGGAAGAGGCAGUGCCAACGUGGCCGUGGUCCUCGGCGUGCUUCUUCUCUGCACGCUCGUGGCGGAGGCGGCGGUGUUCAACGUCGGCGACCGCGGCGGCUGGUCCUUCAACACCAACUCCUGGCCCACCGGCAAGCGCUUCAAGGCCGGCGACGUCCUAGUGUUCAAGUACGACGCGACGGCGCACGACGUGGUGGCGGUGAGCGCGGCGGGGUACAAGGCCUGCGCCAAGCCGGCCAAGGGCGCCAAGGUCUACAAGUCCGGCUCCGACCGCGUCACGCUCGCUCGCGGCACAAACUACUUCAUCUGCAGCAUCCCCGGCCACUGCCAGUCCGGCAUGAAGAUCGCCGUCACCGCCGCCUAG